UUCACAAUCUCCGCCUCUGGG
rnacentral:piRNA from 1 species